rnacentral:rRNA from 1 species
GACUAACGCUGGCGGUACGCCUAACACAUGCAAGUCGAACGAGACUUUUAGACUUCGGUUUGAAAGUUUAGUGGCAAACGGGUGAGUAAUGCAUAGGAAUCUGCCCUUUGUGGGGAAUAGCUCGAAGAAAUUCGAAUUAAUUCCGCAUGAUGCCGAGAGGUAAAAGCAGCAAUGCGCCAGAGGAUGAGCCUGUGUCCGAUUAGCUAGUUGGUGAGAUAAAAGCUUACCAAGGCAACGAUCGGUAGCUGGUCUGAGAGGAUGAUCAGCCACAGUGGAACUGCGACACGGUCCACACUCCUACGGAGGCAGCAGUGAGGAAUUUUUCCGCAAUGGGCGAAAGCCUGACGGAGCGAUACCGCGUGUAGGAAGAAGGCCCUU